rfam:Oceanicola batsensis HTCC2597 scf_1099451005761 genomic scaffold, whole genome shotgun sequence.
CGGAGUGUAGCUCAGCCUGGUAGAGCACUGUCUUCGGGAGGCAGGGGUCGUGAGUUCGAAUCUCGCCACUCCGA